AUCCAGAUGACGAGUCCAAAAUAGGACGAAAUGCUCAUCUUGGAC
rfam:Trichobilharzia regenti genome assembly, scaffold: TRE_scaffold0004659